rnacentral:rRNA from 1 species
AGUGAACGCUGGCGGUAGGCCUAACACAUGCAAGUCGAACGGCAGCACAGUAAGAGCUUGCUCUUACGGGUGGCGAGUGGCGGACGGGUGAGGUAUACAUCGGAAUCUACUUUUUCGUGGGGGAUAACGUAGGGAAACUUACGCUAAUACCGCAUACGACCUACGGGUGAAAGCAGGGGAUCUUCGGACCUUGCGCGAUUGAAUGAGCCGAUGUCGGAUUAGCUAGUUGGCGGGGUAAAGGCCCACCAAGGCGACGAUCCGUAGCUGGUCUGAGAGGAUGAUCAGACACACUGGAACUGAGACACGGUCCAGACUCCUACGGGAGGCAGCAGUGGGGAAUAUUGGACAAUGGGCGCAAGCCUGAUCCAGCCAUACCGCGUGAGUGAAGAAGGCCUUCGGGUUGUAAAGCCCUUUUGUUGGGAAAGAAAAGCAGCAGGUUAAUACCCCGCUGUUCUGACGGUACCAAAAGAAUAAGCACCGGCUAACUUCGUG